rnacentral:rRNA from 1 species
AGAGCGUAUGGUGGAUGCCUUGGCACUAAGAGCCGAUGAAAGACGUGAUAAGCUGCGAAAAGCUUCGGGGAGGAGCAAAUAUCCUUUGAUCCGGAGAUUUCUGAAUGGGGAAACCUACUUGAGCAAACCUCAAGUAUCCUUAAGCCAAUACAUAACUUAAGGAAGGGAACCCGGUGAACUGAAACAUCUAAGUAGCCGGAGGAAGAGAAAACAACAUGUGAUUCUGUGAGUAGCGGCGAGCGAAAACGGAAGAGCCCAAACCAGCGUGCGUGCAUGCUGGGGUUCGGACCGCGGAAUUGAUUCAACGAGUUUAGCAGAACGGUUUUGGGAAAGCCGGCCAGAGAGGGUGAAAGCCCCGUAAGCGAAAGACGAGUUGACAUGGCGGGAUCCAGAGUACCACGAGACACGUGGAACCUUGUGGGAAGAUGCGGGGACCACCCCGUAAGGCUAAAUACUACUUAGUGACCGAUAGCGCAUAGUACUGUGAAGGAAAGGUGAAAAGGACCCCGGGAGGGGAGUGAAAAAGAACCUGAAACCAUAUGUUUACAAGCUGUGGAAGAGCUUUAUAUGCUCAACCGCGUACUUUUUGUAGAACGGUCCGGCGAGUUACGCUGGCUGGCGAGGUUAAGGACUAAAGGUCCGGAGCCGAAGGGAAACCAAGUCUGAAUAGGGCGCAUAGUCAGUCGGAGUAGACCCGAAACCGGGUGAUCUAUCCAUGUCCAGGUUGAAGUUGCCGUAAAAGGCAAUGGAGGACCGAACCCACAUCCGUUGAAAAGGGUGGGGAUGAGGUGUGGAUAGGGGAGAAAUUCCAAUCGAACCCGGAGAUAGCUGGUUCUCCUCGAAAUAGCUUUAGGGCUAGCCUCAUACGAGUCUUGCGGAGGUAGAGCACUGAAUUCCUAAGGGGGCGUCAAAGCUUACUAAGGGAUAUCAAACUCCGAAUGCCGUGUAGAUGAUGUAUGGGAGUCAGACGAUCCGAGAUAAGUUGGGUGGUCAAAAGGGAAAGAGCCCAGACCAACAGCUAAGGCCCCAAAAUGUGUGUUAAGUGGAAAAGGAUGUGGGAUUUCGAAGACAACUAGGAUGUUGGCUCAGAAGCAGCCAUUCAUUCAAAGAGUGCGUAAUAGCUCACUAGUCGAGAGGUCCUGCGCCGAAAAUGUCCGGGGCUAAAACACACUGCCGAAGCUUUGGAAUUGAAUUAAUUCAAUUGGUAGAGGAGCAUUCUUAAAGGGACGAAGCAGUACCGUAAGGAGCUGUGGACUUUUAAGAAGAGAGAAUGCCGGAAUGAGUAGCGAGAGGAAGGUGGGAAUCCUUCCGGCCGAAUAUCUAAGGUUUCCAGAGUAAAGCUGAUCUGCUCUGGGUAAGUCGGGGCCUAAGGCGAGGUCGAAAGACGUAGUCGAUGGAUAACAGGUUGAAAUUCCUGUACUAUCCUGUAACAGAACUGUGGGGACACAGGCAGAGAGCGUGAGCCGGGAAUGGAAAGACCGGUACAAGCGAGGUAGGAGUCUGGUUGGCAAAUCCGCCAGGNNNNNNNNNNCGUGAGCCGGGAAUGGAAAGACCGGUACAAGCGAGGUAGGAGAAGAGUUGGCAAAUCCGCUCUUUAAUCUGAAGACGUGAUGUGGACUGAAAAUAAGUAGGGAAGCACGUGAGCUGACUGUCAAGAAAAGCCGCUAUUGUUUGCAGGAUACCCGUACCGUAAACCGACACAGGUGGAUGAGGAGAGAAUCCUAAGGCCGACGGGAGAAGCAUUGUUAAGGAACUCGGCAAAAUGACUCCGUAACUUCGGGAGAAGGAGUGCCAGUAAGAUGGCCGCAGAGAAUUGGCCCAAGCAACUGUUUAGCAAAAACACAGGUCUAUGCAAAACCGAAAGGUGAGGUAUAUGGGCUGACGCCUGCCCGGUGCUGGAAGGUUAAGGGGAGAGGUUAGCGCAAGCGAAGCUUUGAACUUAAGCCCCAGUAAACGGCGGCCGUAACUAUAACGGUCCUAAGGUAGCGAAAUUCCUUGUCGGGUAAGUUCCGACCCGCACGAAAGGCGUAAUGAUUUGGGCACUGUCUCAACAAUGCACCCGGUGAAAUUGAAAUACCAGUGAAGAUGCUGGUUACCUGCGCCAGGACGGAAAGACCCCAUGGAGCUUUACUCCAGCUUGAUACUGGGAUUCGGUAUUGCAUGUACAGGAUAGGUGGGAGGCUAAGAAGUGGUAACGCCAGUUGCCAUGGAGCCGCUGUUGGGAUACCACCCUUGCAGUACUGGGUUUCUAACCAGCAGCCGUGAUCCGGCUGGGGGACAAUGUCAGGUGGGGAGUUUGACUGGGGCGGUCGCCUCCGGAAGGGGAUCGGGGGGGGUCAAAGGUUCCCUCAGAAUGGUUGGAAACCAUUCGAAGAGUGCAAAGGCAGAAGGGAGCUUGACUGCGACACCGACGGGUGGAGCAGGUACGAAAGUAGGACUUAGUGAUCCGGUGGUAUAAAGUGGGAUUGCCAUCGCUCAACGGAUAAAAGCUACCCUGGGGAUAACAGGCUUAUCACUCCCAAGAGUUCACAUCGACGGAGUGGUUUGGCACCUCGAUGUCGGCUCAUCGCAUCCUGGGGCUGAAGUAGGUCCCAAGGGUUGGGCUGUUCGCCCAUUAAAGCGGUACGCGAGCUGGGUUCAGAACGUCGUGAGACAGUUCGGUCCCUAUCCGGCGUGGGCGUAAGAUAUUUGAGAGGAGCUGUCCUUAGUACGAGAGGACCGGGAUGGACUGGCCGCUGGUGUAUCUGUUGUCUUACCAAAGGCAUAGCAGAGUAGCCAAGCCGGGAAGGGAUAAACGCUGAAGGCAUCUAAGCGUGAAGCCCCCCUCAAGAUGAGAUAUCUCAUAACGUCAAGUUAGUAAGACCCCUUGA